CCUACGGGUGGCAGCAGUGGGGAAUCUUGCACAAUGGGGGAAACCCUGAUGCAGCGACGCCGCGUGAGCGAUGAAGCCCUUCGGGGUGUAAAGCUCUUUCGACAGGAACGAUAAUGACGGUACCUGGAGAAGAAGCUGCGGCUAACUACGUGCCAGCAGCCGCGGUAAUACGUAGGCAGCGAGCGUUGUUCGGAGUUACUGGGCGUAAAGAGUAUGUAGGCGGUUGGUCAAGUCUGGUGUGAAAUCUCCCGGCUUAACUGGGAGGGUGCGCUAGAAACUG
rnacentral:rRNA from 1 species